UACGUAGGGGGCUAGCGUUGUCCGGAAUCAUUGGGCGUAAAGAGCGUGUAGGCGGUCCGGUAAGUCCGCUGUGAAAGUCGGGGGCUCAACCCUCGAAUGCCGGUGGAUACUGUCGGGCUAGAGUACGGAAGAGGCGAGUGGAAUUCCUGGUGUAGCGGUGAAAUGCGCAGAUAUCAGGAGGAACACCUAUUGCGAAGGCAGCUCGCUGGGACGUAACUGACGCUAAGGCGCGAAAGCGUGGGGAGCGAACAGG
rnacentral:rRNA from 1 species